rnacentral:rRNA from 1 species
GGCGAAGUGAAGCGGCAAAAGCUUCCAAAUUUCUGAAAUUCCUUAGCACCCUUUCCGGUGUUCGAGUUGUAAUUUGAAGAUGGUAACCUUGGGUUUGGCUCUUGUCUAUGUUCCUUGGAACAGGACGUCAUAGAGGGUGAGAAUCCCGUCUGAUGAGAUGCCCAUUCCUAUGUAAGGUGCUAUCGAAGAGUCGAGUUGUUUGGGAAAUGCAGCUCUAAGUGGGUGGUAAAUUCCAUCUAAAGCUAAAUAUUGGCGAGAGACCGAUAGCGAACAAGUACAGUGAUGGAAAGAUGAAAAGAACUUUGAAAAGAGAGUGAAAAAGUACGUGAAAUUGUUGAAAGGGAAGGGCAUUAGAUCAGACUUGGUGUUUUACGAUUAUCUUCUCUUCUUGAGUUGUGCACUCGUAUUUCACUGGGCCAGCAUCGAUUCGGAUGGCAAGAUAAUGGCAGUUGAAUGUGGCUUCACUUCGGUGGAGUGUUAUAGCUUCUGCUGAUAUUGCCUGUCUGGAUCGAGGGCUGCGUCUUUUGACUAGGAUGCUGGCGUAAUGAUCUAAUGCCGCCCGUCUU